GUUUGUUACUACUCGGGUGAAAUUGUCACGGCCACUUUUUCGCCUUACAAAAUAGAAAUUCACAGCCUUUAAUGUGAAAGACAGAUUUUGAAUAAAAAUUGCAUGUGUAUGCAUUUGUUAAAUGUUUUAGCAUUAUUGUGGACCAGGCCUCAAAGCCCACCAGAGGGAUCAUUUGUUUGAUGAAUGAUAAAACUUCAGUUCAUGCACAGAUGGUCCCACACUGCCAUUUAGUCACGGUGAAUAUUAAUAUUCUAAUAAAUUGUGAGUGUGUUGGCGCGUGUGCGUGCAUGAGUGUUCAACCCUAUUUUCUCCCGUGUAUUGACGGCAGCGAGCUCGCCGCGUUUCUCAGGACAGGCAGGAGACGGAGCCAUCACUCUUCUCUUCUCACCGCACGCUUUUCUCCCCCCCCUCCUCACCACGUUGCUCCUCUACGGCACGGAAGACUAAAAGCGCACGAGACGGAGAGAAGACUGAGGGAGAGAAAUCAUCCCUCCACGUGGGCUCGGAGAGCCGAAAAGAAAGGUCAACUGAUUGUUCAUUGUGUGUGUGUGUGUGUGUGUGUGUGUGUGUGUGUGUGUGUGCGUUAGAGAGCGUUAAUAACGUGUGUGUUGCACAAGUUAAAAAUGUCCUUUUCACGAGGCUUGCCCCUUUGAGCUUUGCUUCCUUUGAAGUAUAAAUCCACG
ensembl:lncRNA